rnacentral:tRNA from 1 species
CCGGCAGGAGGUGUGGAAGCACACCUCCGCCGCGCUGGGCGGCGAGACGCGGUUCGGCAUCUACCUGCCGGA